AUAUAUUGGAUUAUAUCUAGAGGAGACUGAAAUUGACUAACUAAUAUAUUUAGUUGAUAUAAUAUGAGUUUUCUUGGGUGUAAUUGGGUUUAUGAGUAAUAUAGCUUGAAGUUUGUAUUGAUAAUUUAUUAUUGUUGAUAGUGGAAUAUGGCAUGCUCAUGAAUGUAACCCUAUAUUGAGAUAGUGAACUACGUAAAUAUUAGUGUUUUGUAUA
rnacentral:misc_RNA from 1 species